AUUGAACGCUGGCGGCAUGCCUUACACAUGCAAGUCGAACGGCAGCACGGGGCAACCUGGUGGCGAGUGGCGAACGGGUGAGUAAUGCAUCGGAACGUACCUUUCAGUGGGGGAUAACGUAGCGAAAGUUACGCUAAUACCGCAUAUUCUGUGAGCAGGAAAGCAGGGGAUCGCAAGACCUUGCGCUGAUUGAGCGGCCGAUGUCAGAUUAGCUAGUUGGUGAGGUAAAGGCUCACCAAGGCGACGAUCUGUAGCGGGUCUGAGAGGAUGAUCCGCCACACUGGAACUGAGACACGGUCCAGACUCCUACGGGAGGCAGCAGUGGAGAAUUUUGGACAAUGGGGGCAACCCAGAUCCAGCCAUGCCGCGUGAGUGAAGAAGGCCUUCGGGUUGUAAGGCUCUUUCGGCCGGGAAGAAAUCGCACGGGCUAAUACCCUGUGUGGAUGACGGUACCGGAAUAAGAAGCACCGGCUAACUACGUGCCAGCAGCCGCAGUAAGAC
rnacentral:rRNA from 1 species